rnacentral:rRNA from 1 species
AGUGAACGCUGGCGGUAGGCCUAACACGUGCAAGUCGAACGGCAGCACAGUAAGAGCUUGCUCUUACGGGUGGCGAGUGGCGGACGUGUGAGGAAUACAUCGGAAUCUACUUUUUCGUGGGGGAUAACGUAGGGAAACUUACGCUAAUACCGCAUACGACCUACGGGUGAAAGCAGGGGAUCUUCGGACCUUGCGCGAUUGAAUGAGCCGAUGUCGGAUUAGCUAGUUGGCGGGGUAAAGGCCCACCAAGGCGACGAUCCGUAGCUGGUCUGAGAGGAUGAUCAGCCACACUGGAACUGAGACACGGUCCAGACUCCUACGGGAGGCAGCAGUGGGGAAUAUUGGACAAUGGGCGCAAGCCUGAUCCAGCCAUACCGCGUGGGUGAAGAAGGCCUUCGGGUUGUAAAGCCCUUUUGUUGGGAAAGAAAAGCAGCAGGUUAAUACCCCGCUGUCCUGACGGUACCCAAAGAAUAAGCACCGGCUAACUUCGUG